rnacentral:rRNA from 1 species
GUAUUAAAGGUCCUGCCUGCCCAGUGAACUAGUUUUAAACGGCCGCGGUAUCCUAACCGUGCAAAGGUAGCGCAAUCACUUGUUCUUUAAUUAAGGACUAGUAUGAAUGGUCAUAUGAGGGCUAAACUGUCUCCUAUAGCCAAUCAAUGAACCUGAUCCCCCAGUGCAAAAGCUGGGAUAAUCACAUAAGACGAGAAGACCCUGUGGAGCUUAAAACGAACCCUAUGAUCUAUAAUACCCGACAGGAAUAACAUAAAGAUAAAAUAGGGGGGUUUUCAGUUGGGGCGACUCUGGGGUAAAACAAAACCCCCACGAUAUAAACACUGUUCUAAGUAGACACACCGAUGACAAAACACAAUGACCCAGUAUUACUGAUCAACGAACCAAGUUACCCCAGGGAUAACAGCGCCAUCCCCUUUAAGAGUCCUUAUCAUCAAGGGGGUUUACGACCUCGAUGUUGGAUCAGGACAUCCAGGUGGUGUAGCCGCUACCAAGGGUUCGUUUGUUCAACGAUUAAUAGUCCU